rnacentral:lncRNA from 1 species
AUACAUGUGAGGAAUAAAAUUGAAAAGGCUCAGGCUUCCAGAGGGUUUCAGAACUUCCUAAGGACAGCUCAGGAUCAAGCAGACUGCAACUGGCAAAGAAUACCCUCUAAAAAUGUGUAUUACUACCGCUGCCCGGCCCACAGGAAGAACUAUGUCAUGUCAUUUGCCUUUUGCUUUGACCGUGAGGAUGACGUUUAUCAAUUUGCCUACUGCUACCCCUACACCUAUACUCGCCUUCAGCACUAUCUUGACAGCCUACAAAGGAGGAAUAUGGAUUACUUUUGCAGAGAAUUGCUCGGACUUAGUGUGCAGAAACGGCAGCUUGACCUCCUGACAAUAACCAGCCCCGGUAAGUGAGCUCCGCCGCACGGCUCUCUUCUCUUUUCU